UACGUAGGGGGCAAGCGUUGUUCGGAAUUACUGGGCGUAAAGGGCGCGUAGGCGGCACGACAAGUCGGAAGUGAAAGCCCGGGGCUCAACCCCGGAAUGUCUUUCGAAACUGCCGAGCUAGAGUGCAGAAGAGGCAACUGGAAUUCCCAGUGUAGCGGUGAAAUGCGUAGAUAUUGGGAAGAACACCUGAGGCGAAGGCGGGUUGCUGGGCUGACACUGACGCUGAGGCGCGAAAGCCAGGGGAGCGAACGGG
rnacentral:rRNA from 1 species